rnacentral:rRNA from 1 species
UACAGAGGUCCCAAGCGUUGUUCGGAUUCACUGGGCGUAAAGGGUGCGUAGGCGGGCAGGUAAGUCCGUGGUGAAAUCUCUGAGCUUAACUCAGAAACUGCCAUGGAUACUAUUUGUCUUGAAUAUUGUGGAGGUCAGCGGAAUAUGUCAUGUAGCGGUGAAAUGCUUAGAUAUGACAUAGAACACCAAUUGCGAAGGCAGCUGGCUACACAGUUAUUGACGCUGAGGCACGAAAGCGUGGGGAUCAAACAGG